rnacentral:rRNA from 1 species
AGAACGAACGCUGGCGGCAUGCCUAACACAUGCAAGUCGAACGAGACCUUCGGGUCUAGUGGCGCACGGGUGCGUAACGCGUGGGAAUCUGCCCUUGGGUUCGGGAUAACAGUUGGAAACGACUGCUAAUACCGGAUGAUGUCUUCGGACCUAAGAUUAUCGCCCAGGGAUGAGCCCGCGUAGGAUUAGCUUGUUGGUGAGGUAAGAGCUCACCAAGGCGACGAUCCUUAGCUGGUCUGAGAGGAUGAUCAGCCACA